rnacentral:rRNA from 1 species
AUUGAACGCUGGCGGCAGGCUUAACACAUGCAAGUCGAGCGGAGAGAGGUAGCUUGCUACUGAUCUUAGCGGCGGACGGGUGAGUAAUGCUUAGGAAUCUGCCUAUUAGUGGGGACAACAUUUCGAAAGGAAUGCUAAUACCGCAUACGCCCUACGGGAGAAAGCAGGGGAUCUUCGGACCUUGCGCUAAUAGAUGAGCCUAAGUCGGAUUAGCUAGUUGGUGGGGUAAAGGCCUACCAAGGCGACGAUCUGUAGCGGGUCUGAGAGGAUGAUCCGCCACACUGGGACUGAGACACGGCCCAGACUCCUACGGGAGGCAGCAGUGGGGAAUAUUGGACAAUGGGCGGAAGCCUGAUCCAGCCAUGCCGCGUGUGUGAAGAAGGCCUUAUGGUUGUAAAGCACUUUAAGCGAGGAGGAGGCUACUUUAGUUAAUACCUAGAGAUAGUGGACGUUACUCGCAGAAUAAGCACCGGCUAACUCUGUGCCAGCCGCCGCGGUAACAC